UACGUAGGGUGCAAGCGUUAAUCGGAAUUACUGGGCGUAAAAGCGUGCGCAGGCGGUUUUGUAAGUCUGUCGUGAAAGCCCCGGGCUCAACCUGGGAAUUGCAUUUGAGACUGCGUAGCUAGGGUGCGGAAGAGGGAAGCGGAAUUUCCGGUGUAGCGGUGAAAUGCGUAGAUAUCGGAAGGAACACCAGUGGCGAAAGCGGCUU
rnacentral:rRNA from 1 species